GACGAACGCUGGCGGCGUGCUUAACACAUGCAAGUCGAACGGAAAGGCCCUGCUUUUAUGGGGUGCUCGAGUGGCGAACGGGUGAGUAACACGUGAGUAACCUGCCCUUGACUUUGGGAUAACUUCAGGAAACUGGGGCUAAUACCGGAUAGGAGCUCCUGCUGCAUGGUGGGGGUUGGAAAGUUUCGGCGGUUGGGGAUGGACUCGCGGCUUAUCAGCUUGUUGGUGGGGGAGUGGCUUACCAAGGCUUUGACGGGUAGCCGGCCUGAGAGGGUGACCGGCCACAUUGGGACUGAGAUACGGCCCAGACUCCUACGGGAGGCAGCAGUGGGGAAUAUUGCACAAUGGGCGGAAGCCUGAUGCAGCAACGCCGCGUGCGGGAUGACGGCCUUCGGGUUGUAAACCGCUUUCGCCUGUGACGAAGCGUGAGUGACGGUAAUGGGUAAAGAAGCACCGGCUAACUACGUGCCAGCCGCCGCGGUAA
rnacentral:rRNA from 1 species